UAUCUUAUUAGUCUAGCUUAUGCUCUCUUUUAUACCAUUUUGGCAACUUAUUGAAAGUUUAAUCUUGCAUAGAUACCAUGUCGAACUGCCAUGAGAGGAAGAUUUCCACUUAAUGGCACUUAUUUUCAAACUAAUGAGGCUUUCCCAGCAGGUCUUUGCAGAUCAUGAUUCUAGUCGCAACCCGAUUCAAGUUCCUCGAAGCUGUCUAUGGAAUCUUCCACGAAGGACUGUAUACUUCGGAACGUCGAUAGCUGCAAUAUUUAGAGGUUUCACUGCUACAGAACCCAUUCAGUACUGCUUCUCAAA